UACGUAGGGGGCAAGCGUUGUCCGGAUUUAUUGGGCGUAAAGAGCGUGUAGGCGGCCAGGUAGGUCCGUUGUGAAAACUCGAGGCUCAACCUCGAGCUGUCGAUGGAAACCAUCUGGCUAGAGUCCGGAAGAGGAGAGUGGAAUUCCCGGUGUAGCGGUGAAAUGCGCAGAUAUCGGGAAGAACACCCGUGGCGAAGGCGGCUCACUGGACCGGAACUGACGCUGAGGCGCGAAAGCGUGGGGAGCAAACAGG
rnacentral:rRNA from 1 species